GAAAGAUUUAUUGCUAAAAGGUCGGCCCGCGGUAGAUUAGGCAGUUGGUGGGGUAAAGGCCUACCAAACCUACGAUCUAUAGCUGGUCUGAGAGGACGAUCAGCCACAUUGGAACUGAGACACGGUCCAGACUCCUACGGGAGGCAGCAGUGAGGAAUAUCGGGCAAUGGAGGCAACUCUGACCCAGCCAUGCCGCGUGAGUGAGAAGGUUUUCGAAUUGUAAAGCUCUUUCAGGUGUGAAGAUGAUGACGGUAACACCAGAAGAAGCCCCGGCAAACUUCGUGCCAGCAGCCGCGGUAAUACGAAGGGGGCGAGCGUUGUUCGGAAUUACUGGGCGUAAAGGGUGUGUAGGCGGUUUAGUAAGAUAGUGGUGAAAUGCCGGAGCUCAACUUCGGAAUUGCCAUUAUGACUAUUAAGCUAGAAUGAUGUAGAGGAUAGCGGAAUACCCAGUGUAGAGGUGAAAUUCGUAGAUAUUGGGUAGAACACCAGAGGCGAAGGCGGCUAUCUGGGCAUUUAUUGACGCUGAGGCACGAAAGCAUGGGGAUCAAACAGGAUUAGAUACCCUGGUAGUCCAUGCUGUAAACGAUGAAUGCUAGU
rnacentral:rRNA from 1 species